rnacentral:tRNA from 1 species
GUCGUUGUAGUAUAGUGGUAGGUAAGUAUUCCCGCCUGUCACGCGGGUGACCCGGGUUCGAUCCCCGGCAACGGCG